rnacentral:rRNA from 1 species
GUGGGGAAUUUUGCGCAAUGGGCGAAAGCCUGACGCAGCCAUGCCGCGUGAAUGAUGAAGGUCUUAGGAUUGUAAAAUUCUUUCACCGGGGACGAUAAUGACGGUACCCGGAGAAGAAGCCCCGGCUAACUUCGUGCCAGCAGCCGCGGUAAUACGAAGGGGGCUAGCGUUGCUCGGAAUUACUGGGCGUAAAGGGCGCGUAGGCGGACAGUUUAGUCAGAGGUGAAAGCCCAGGGCUCAACCUUGGAAUUGCCUUUGAUACUGGCUGUCUUGAGUACGGGAGAGGUGAGUGGAACUCCGAGUGUAGAGGUGAAAUUCGUAGAUAUUCGGAAGAACACCAGUGGCGAAGGCGACUCACUGGCCCGUUACUGACGCUGAGGCGCGAAAGCGUGGGGAGCAAACAGGAUUAGAUACCCGGGUAGUCC